UGCGGAGUGGAGCAGUGGCAGCUCGCUAGCCUCAUAAGCUAGAGGUCAAUAGUUCGAGUCUAUUCUCCGCAUCCA
rnacentral:tRNA from 1 species